rnacentral:rRNA from 1 species
UACGUAGGGGGCUAGCGUUGUCCGGAAUCAUUGGGCGUAAAGCGCGUGUAGGCGGUCCGGUAAGUCCGCUGUGAAAGUCGGGGGCUCAACCCUCGAAUGCCGGUGGAUACUGUCGGGCUAGAGUGCGGAAGAGGCGAGUGGAAUUCCUGGUGUAGCGGUGAAAUGCGCAGAUAUCAGGAGGAACACCAAUUGCGAAGGCAGCUCGCUGGACGUUACUGACGCUGGAGACGCGAAAGCGUGGGGAGCAAACAGG